rnacentral:rRNA from 1 species
UACGAAGGGUGCAAGCGUUACUCGGAAUUACUGGGCGUAAAGCGUGCGUAGGUGGUGAGUUGAGUCUGUCGUGAAAGCCCCGGGCUCAACCUGGAAUGGCGAUGGAUACUGGCUCGCUAGAGUGCGGUAGAGGAGAGUGGAAUUCCCGGUGUAGCAGUGAAAUGCGUAGAGAUCGGGAGGAACAUCAGUUGCGAAGGCGGCUCUCUGGACCAGCACUGACACUGAGGCACGAAAGCGUGGGGAGCAAACAGG